UGGGGAAUUUUGGACAAUGGACGCAAGUCUGAUCCAGCCAUGCCGCGUGCGGGAAGAAGGCCUUCGGGUUGUAAACCGCUUUUGUCAGGGAAGAAACGAGUUUCUCUAAUACAGAGACUUAAUGACGGUACCUGAAGAAUAAGCACCGGCUAACUACGUGCCAGCAGCCGCGGUAAUACGUAGGGUGCAAGCGUUAAUCGGAAUUACUGGGCGUAAAGCGUGCGCAGGCGGUUAUGCAAGACAGAGGUGAAAUCCCCGGGCUCAACCUGGGAAUUGCAUUGGAGACUGCAAGGCUAGAAUCUGGCAGAGGGGGGUAGAAUUCCGCGUGUAGCAGUGAAAUGCGUAGAUAUGCGGAGGAACACCGAUGGCGAAGGCAAUCCCCUGGACCUAUACUGACGCUCAUGCACGAAAGCGUGGGGAGCAAACA
rnacentral:rRNA from 1 species